GAUCGAUUUUACCGAAACCAAAUUUUAUGUCAAUUUAUAUACUUUUAAUACUAUUAUUUCAUUAAUAUAGCCUUAAAAUCAUACUGAGGUAUUUAUAAUGAAUCGUAGUUAUUAAAAUAAUUAAAAUAAAAUUAAAAAAAAGCUCUGGGUGUAUGGCGCACCGCGCAUUAUUCAAUAUCUAGGCAAAAACUAUUUAGAGAUGGUAACCCUCUUAUUGUGAAUUGCCGAUUGCGCGACGCGGUGGUACCUCUAGUGUUUGUGAUUUACAAGUGAUAAAGUUUGAGUAUUUUUAUUGUAUUGUUGCUUGUUCAUGCAACAAAAAUAAAUUAUGGAGCCACGAACUUCACGCAAAGAUUAUCUGAAUCACCCUGGCUAAUGAAUUACUCUGGCCCCCGGAAAAGUCGCAAACGAGUUCUUGGACAAAUGAAAAAAAGAUAUCAUGGAGAAAGCAAAAGUCGUAGUGAAGUGUGGUGCAAAAAGAAGGCAGAUAACAAUCCUAUUCCUGGAAGUUUUGUGUAUGUGGAACAUGAAUAAUCUUCAAAUAAUAGUAAUUGAUCCAUAAUACAUAGGGAUUAUAGAAGAAGAAGUCAAUUUUGGAAAUAAAGUGUUUUCCCUCAUUGGCUCGCAACAGUCAAGAUAUGUUUUCUGCUGCAAAAGAUUGUAAAAAUUUUCCUCUCUACAUUGAUAGUACUGGGAGGUUACAAAUGAAUAAAAAACACAAUUUCUAUUAUCAGAUCCAGGGCCAGCUGUGGGUUACAAAAAUGAACAAAUGCUACUUUGUUAGAUAUAUUUCUCCAACUUACGACAUCACUAUUUUAGAAAUAGAACGUGAUGAAGUUUUUAUGGGUAACAUGAUACCAAAACUAGAUAAUUUUUUUAAAAAUUGUGUAUUGCCUGAAGUAGUACUUCGGAGAGUCGGCAAUAAUCAAACUUGCUUAGACAUUUCAUUGUGUAAAUAAAAUCAAUAAAAAUAUUUGAAAAAUAAUCAACUGCAUACAUGCAACAUAUUAUACUCUACGUUGAUAAGAACCACCCUUGUGUAAAUUUAACCUUUUCCCACAAAUGAAUUUGCUCAAAACACUCAUGAAAUUUUCCACCACAUUUGUUGUAUCAUUCGAUAGCCGAUGGCAUUUCGCCAUGACCUUUGUCUCAUUUGCAGCACAUAUGAGGGCCCACACUGUGGGAGCUUUACUUUUGUAUUUUUCUAAUGAGUCUGUGUCUUUUUCAUCACUGUUGACACAGAAUCUACAGUAAUAUGGUUUACAUUCUUUAUGGCAGCCAAACACAUGAGAUGGGUCAAUUUUUGAAUCCUUAUCCUAAAUCAAUAAAAAUAUUUUUCAAAUAUUUUUAUUGAUUUUAUUUACACAAUUGGCUCAAUUUUACUGUCCCAUUCGGUAUCGAGACCCUUGGUCCCUGGGGUCCUAGCGCUUCAAGCCUUUUUAGGGAAAUAUGAAAAAGGUUAGUCGACAUCACAAAAGGCCGAAGAGCUGGCAGCUACCUCUGACUAAGAAUUAGUCUAGCCAUUCAAAGGGGGAACGAUGCCAGUAUCUUUGGAACCUUGCCUAA